rnacentral:lncRNA from 1 species
CAAAAACCGAAAUUCUCAUUAUCAUUAUGUCUGUCUGUUCUUGUCUUGUAUUCAGUGCAUAAUUGAGACUUUGGUGAUUAAUUAUGACUAGAUUUAAAUAUAGUGACAGUGCAGUAUUAUACUUUAAGUACUAGUACUGCUCAAGUCGACACUAAGGACCAUCUUGACCUUGUUUUUCGGUAUUAAUGAUUCUUUUAUUGUUGAAGACCCUCCACCAACUAUCAAGAUGAAGAACAGGAAAAAAAACUUUGGCCAAUGAGCAUUUGUAUUUUUUCUAUGCAUUGACUUUGUGUGAGAUAAGGUCAUGUGCACGUUUACUUCAUAUUUUUUUAUUUUCUGUUUAAGAGUCUGAAAACGACUUCAUGCAAGUUUAACACUUCAAUGUAAAAGGUCAUAUGGCAAUACAUUGACGUUUUUUUUAAAGAUGAUUUGAUACCGGGG